rnacentral:rRNA from 1 species
UACAGAGGUCCCGAGCGUUGUUCGGAUUCAUUGGGCGUAAAGGGUGCGUAGGCGGCGGGGCAAGUCUGAUGUGAAAUCCCGGGGCUCAACCCCGGAACUGCAUUGGAUACUGCCUUGCUAGAGUACUGGAGAGGGAACUGGAAUUUACGGUGUAGCAGUGAAAUGCGUAGAGAUCGUAAGGAAGGCCAGUGGCGAAGGCAAGUUCCUGGACAGUUACUGACGCUGAGGCACGAAGGCCAGGGGAGCAAACGGG